AGGAAGUGUUCACGGUCUGACAGAGGAAGUGCUCACGGUCUGAUAGAGGAAGUGUUCGUGAACACUUCCUCUGCCAGACCGUGAGCACUUCCU
rnacentral:pre_miRNA from 1 species